UCCACAGAGUUCUGCUCUCAUAAGAAUAUAAGAGCGGUCAUACCGGGUCAGACCAAAGGUCCAUUUAGCCCAGUAUCCUGUCUACCAACAGUGGCCAAUGCCAGGGGUGCC